CUUGGUCAUUUAGAGGAAGUAAAAGUCGUAACAAGGUUUCCGUAGGUGAACCUGCGGAAGGAUCAUUACAGUGUUUCCCUGCCCUUUGGGGUAGGAUCGCCACCCUUGAUUAUUUAUGAGUGUUGCUUUGGCGGGCCUCGCGGCCUGGCCGCGCCCCGGCUUCGGCGGGGGAGCGCCCGCCAGAGGAUUCUACAAACCUGAUUAUUAGUGUCGUCUGAGUACUAUAUAAUAGUUAAAACUUUCAACAACGGAUCUCUUGGUUCUGGCAUCGAUGAAGAACGCAGCGAAAUGCGAUAAGUAAUGUGAAUUGCAGAAUUCAGUGAAUCAUCGAAUCUUUGAACGCAUAUUGCGCUCUUUGGUAUUCCGAAGAGCAUGCUUGUUUGAGUAUCAGUAAACACCUCAAAGCCUUCAAUUCAGUUUGAAAGCUUUGGACUUGAGCAAUCCCAACAUCAGUCUCGCGACUGACGGAGGGCUGCUUGAAAUGCAGGUGCAGCUGGACAUUCUCCUGAGCUAUAAGCAUAUUUAUUUAGUCCCGUCAAACGGAUUAUUACUUUUGCUGCAGCUAACAUAAAGGGAGUCUGACCGUAUUGGCUGACUGAUGCAGGAUUUCACAAGGGCUGGCAACAGCUUCUUGUAAAACUCGAUCUCAAAUCAAGUAAGACUACCCGCUGAACUUAAGCAUAUCAAUAAGCGGAGGAAAAGAAACUAACAAGGAUUCCCCUAGUAACGGCGAGUGAAGCGGGAUGAGCUCAAAUUUAAAAUCUGGCUGGUUUACUAGUCCGAAUUGUAGUUUAUAGAAGCGUUUUCGGUGGCAGCCUGGGUAUAAAUCCUUUGGAAUAGGGUAUCAUAGAGGGUGAGAAUCCCGUCUUUGACUCAGUGCAUGCUACUAUGUGAUACGUUUUCAAAGAGUCGAGUUGUUUGGGAAU
rnacentral:sRNA from 1 species